rnacentral:rRNA from 1 species
UACGAGGGGUGCAAGCGUUGCUCGGAAUUAUUGGGCGUAAAGGGCAGGUAGGUGGUCCCGUUUGUCAGAGGUGAAAGCCUUGAGCUUAACUCAAGAAGUGCCUCUGAAACGGCGGGACUAGAGUCUUAGAGAGGGUCGUGGAAUUCCCGGUGUAGCGGUGAAAUGCGUAGAGAUCGGGAGGAACACCAGAGGCGAAGGCGGCGACCUGGAUAAGCACUGACACUCAACUGCGAAAGCGUGGGGAGCAAACGGG